AUUGUGCACACACACAUACAGACAUACAUGAACACGUGCACUCUGAUUCAUCUUAGUUAUAUUUUUUAUACAAUACAAUAAAAUACAAAUCUUUCCUUCAUCUUAUCUCCCUUUAUUUUGGAAUGCUUCCUCUAUUUGAUCACUAUAAGGUAUUUUCUGCACUUUAGUCCGGGUGUUAUAUUGUAUGGCAUAUUUACAAAUGUUACAUAUCCUUCUGUUUGUGUAUGGGAGGGGCUGAACUCCUGGGUCUCACUCCCAGUUGGGGAUCUGUGGAUUCAUGGCUGUUGACAGGGCAAUAUGGGCAAGAUCAGGGGACCAUGGCUGCUUCUGCUCUCCCUGC
rnacentral:lncRNA from 1 species